rnacentral:misc_RNA from 1 species
UAUAGAACUGUAGAGUCUGGGAGAUCAGUGAAGUGUGAGGAUUGUGCUGGCUAAGCAAGUGCACGUCUGAAUCGCUUUCUGGUCGACCUUUCUCUUUCUCUCUCACACUUGUGCACCUAUUGUAGGUCCUCGAAAGGGGAUCUAUGUUUUUCUACACACCCAUCGUAUGUCUACAGAAUGUUAUCAAAGGUCUUACCGAAAAGAGGGGUCACUUUCAGUUCCCUCCUAAUAGAGGACUUGCGAAUUUUAUACAACUUUCAGCAAUGGAUCUCUUGGCUCUCGCAUCGAUGAAGAACGCAGCGAAUCGCGAUAAGUAAUGUGAAUUGCAGAUUUUCAGUGAAUCAUCGAAUCUUUGAACGCACCUUGCGCUCCUUGGUAUUCCGAGGAGCAUGCCUGUUUGAGUGUCAUGAAUUUCUCAACCACCCGAUCCUUGUGGAUCUCGUGGCUUGGACUUGGGAGUUGCUGGUCUUUCCAGAUCAGCUCUCCUGAAAUGCAUUAGCAGAAGUGGUCGAGGCGAGUUUUCGGCGUGCACGGCCUUUGACGUGAUAAUUCAUCGUCAUGGCUGGAGCGUCUUUGGACUACGUAUUAGACUUUCUUUGCUUCCAACGAAAACCCAGUCAAGCUUAGCUACUAGUACCCUAGUACGAACGCGGCUUGCACCCCAUUUCGAAUCUUG